GACGAACGCUGGCGGCGUGCUUAACACAUGCAAGUCGAACGGAAAGGCCUGCUUUCCCUUGUGGAUUGCGGGUACUCGAGUGGCGAACGGGUGAGUAACACGUGAGUGAUCUGCCCCCAACUUGGGUAUAAGCCUGGGAAACUGGGUCUAAUUCCCGAUAGGACUGCAGGGUGGUGCCUGUGGUGGAAAACGAUUUUCUAGUGGUUGGGGAUGAGCUCGCGGCCUAUCAGCUUGUUGGUGGGGUAAUGGCCUACCAAGGCGGCGACGGGUAGCCGGCCUGAGAGGGUGGACGGCCACAUUGGGACUGAGAUACGGCCCAGACUCCUACGGGAGGCAGCAGUGGGGAAUAUUGCACAAUGGGCGGAAGCCUGAUGCAGCGACGCCGCGUGGGGGAGGACGGCCUUCGGGGUGUAAACUCCUUUCGACCGCGAGGAAGCCACCUGGUUGGAAGGGUGGUGACGGUAGUGGUAGAAGAAGCGCCGGCUAACUACGUGC
rnacentral:rRNA from 1 species